GGUGGUUUGGGGGAGUUGCUUUGGGAUUGCUAUAGCAGGUGCGACUUUAAAAAAAAAAUCACAUGGAACUUUAUCAAGUGCAUUUGGAAACAGUUGGAAAUUAGCCAGGAGGAACAUUCUCCUUCAAUCCCUUAGACAUCCAGUUGUGGGCUUGGAUUAGGCCCCUGAACAGCUGAGUUAGGAGGACACUGACACCUUGUCACACUUUGAAGCUCUUUAUUCCCUCCUCACCCUCCAACAAAAGCACCAGAGAUUGCCCUCCCCUAACUACACACACACACACACACACACACACACACACACACACGUCCAGCUGCCAGAUAUGCCAGUUCUCUUUCAGAGAACACUAGACAGUGAGUCCAGGCAAGUUACCAUGGUUCUCUAUUAUCGCGUCCAGCACAUCAGGGAAUGGAAAUAAGUGUGCACAUGUUCUUAAAGGCCCUUUGGGAAAGAUCAGUGGGGCUGCAUGGGGAACACAAUGGCAGGCUUUGUCACAAAGAAAGGAUUUGGGCUGGCAGGCAGCAACAGUCCUGCUGGACACAGAGUUUUUCUGCAAAGGCAGUGGGGGGAAAACCAUGUGCUGGAUUACACAGCAUCCUCACUGGGAAAAGUAGAGCAUUUUGUGUAAUUAAAAGUCAUCCUGAAGACAUCAGGCUGCAGCCCUUACAACGUAAGCUUUGGUGAUUGGUGGAGUGAUGAGGAAGCCCAGAGAAAACCACAGAAAAGGUAAUACAACUCGUGAUGUGGGGAAUGGAGUAGAGAGAAGCUGUGGCUCACUGAAAUUAAGCUGAGUCACCCUGUUGUGUAAACUACUAACAGAUAGUCACUUUCAAAAAGUGAUCAAAUAAUUGAGUCAUCAGAGAUAUAUUAAAGGGCUUCCCUGUGGCUCAGAUGGUAAAGCGUCUGCCUGCAAUGUGGGAGACCCAGGUUCAAUCUCUGAGCAGGGAAGAUCCCCUGGAGAAGGAAAUGGCAACCCACUCCAGUACUCUUGCCUGAAAAACUCUAUGACUGUUGCCUGAGGAGCCUGGUAGGCGACAGUCCAUGGAGUCGCAAACAGUUAGACACGACUGAGCGAUUUCAAAAAAUGAUCAAAUAAUUGAGUCAGCAGAGAUAUAUUAAAAGCUCAAUAAAUAUGUACGGCUGAGCCCUUUCA
rnacentral:lncRNA from 1 species